AGGGGAUCUUCGGACCUUGCGCUAUCGGAUGAGCCUAUGUCGGAUUAGCUAGUUGGUGAGGUAACGGCUCACCAAGGCGACGAUCCGUAGCUGGUCUGAGAGGAUGAUCAGCCACACUGGGACUGAGACACGGCCCAGACUCCUACGGGAGGCAGCAGUGGGGAAUAUUGGACAAUGGGGGAAACCCUGAUCCAGCCAUGCCGCGUGUGUGAAGAAGGCCUUCGGGUUGUAAAGCACUUUCAGCGAGGAAGAAGGCCUGAGGGCUAAUACCCUUCAGGAAGGACAUCACUCGCAGAAGAAGCACCGGCUAACUCCGUGCCAGCAGCCGCGGUAAUACGGAGGGUGCGAGCGUUAAUCGGAAUUACUGGGCGUAAAGCGCGCGUAGGUGGCUUGAUAAGCCGGUUGUGAAAGCCCCGGGCUCAACCUGGGAACGGCAUCCGGAACUGUCAGGCUAGAGUGCAGGAGAGGAAGGUAGAAUUCCCGGUGUAGCGGUGAAAUGCGUAGAGAUCGGGAGGAAUACCAGUGGCGAAGGCGGCCUUCUGGACUGACACUGACACUGAGGUGCGAAAGCGUGGGUAGCAAACAGGAUUAGAUACCCUGGUAGUCCACGCCGUAAACGAUGUCGACUAGCCGUUGGGGUCCUUGAGACCUUUGUGGCGCAGUUAACGCGAUAAGUCGACCGCCUGGGGAGUACGGCCGCAAGGUUAAAACUCAAAUGAAUUGACGGGGGCCCGCACAAGCGGUGGAGCAUGUGGUUUAAUUCGAUGCAACGCGAAGAACCUUACCUACCCUUGACAUCGUGCGAACUUUCCAGAGAUGGAUGGGUGCCUUCGGGAACGCACAGACAGGUGCUGCAUGGCUGUCGUCAGCUCGUGUUGUGAAAUGUUGGGUUAAGUCCCGUAACGAGCGCAACCCUUGUCCCUAUUUGCCAGCGAUUCGGUCGGGAACUCUAGGGAGACUGCCGGUGA
rnacentral:rRNA from 1 species